rnacentral:rRNA from 1 species
GGUUAAGCGACUAAGCGUACACGGUGGAUGCCCUGGCAGUCAGAGGCGAUGAAGGACGUGCUAAUCUGCGAUAAGCGUCGGUAAGGUGAUAUGAACCGUUAUAACCGGCGAUUUCCGAAUGGGGAAACCCAGUGUGAUUCGUCACACUAUCAUUAACUGAAUCCAUAGGUUAAUGAGGCGAACCGGGGGAACUGAAACAUCUAAGUACCCCGAGGAAAAGAAAUCAACCGAGAUUCCCCCAGUAGCGGCGAGCGAACGGGGAGCAGCCCAGAGCCUGAAUCAGUGUGUGUGUUAGUGGAAGCGUCUGGAAAGGCGCGCGAUACAGGGUGACAGCCCCGUACACAAAAAUGCACAUACUGUGAGCUCGAUGAGUAGGGCGGGACACGUGGUAUCCUGUCUGAAUAUGGGGGGACCAUCCUCCAAGGCUAAAUACUCCUGACUGACCGAUAGUGAACCAGUACCGUGAGGGAAAGGCGAAAAGAACCCCGGCGAGGGGAGUGAAAAAGAACCUGAAACCGUGUACGUACAAGCAGUGGGAGCACGCUUAGGCGUGUGACUGCGUACCUUUUGUAUAAUGGGUCAGCGACUUAUAUUCUGUAGCAAGGUUAACCGAAUAGGGGAGCCGAAGGGAAACCGAGUCUUAACUGGGCGUUAAGUUGCAGGGUAUAGACCCGAAACCCGGUGAUCUAGCCAUGGGCAGGUUGAAGGUUGGGUAACACUAACUGGAGGACCGAACCGACUAAUGUUGAAAAAUUAGCGGAUGACUUGUGGCUGGGGGUGAAAGGCCAAUCAAACCGGGAGAUAGCUGGUUCUCCCCGAAAGCUAUUUAGGUAGCGCCUCGUGAAUUCAUCUCCGGGGGUAGAGCACUGUUUCGGCAAGGGGGUCAUCCCGACUUACCAACCCGAUGCAAACUGCGAAUACCGGAGAAUGUUAUCACGGGAGACACACGGCGGGUGCUAACGUCCGUCGUGAAGAGGGAAACAACCCAGACCGCCAGCUAAGGUCCCAAAGUCAUGGUUAAGUGGGAAACGAUGUGGGAAGGCCCAGACAGCCAGGAUGUUGGCUUAGAAGCAGCCAUCAUUUAAAGAAAGCGUAAUAGCUCACUGGUCGAGUCGGCCUGCGCGGAAGAUGUAACGGGGCUAAACCAUGCACCGAAGCUGCGGCAGCGACGCUGAUGCGUUGUUGGGUAGGGGAGCGUUCUGUAAGCCUGCGAAGGUGUGCUGUGAGGCAUGCUGGAGGUAUCAGAAGUGCGAAUGCUGACAUAAGUAACGAUAAAGCGGGUGAAAAGCCCGCUCGCCGGAAGACCAAGGGUUCCUGUCCAACGUUAAUCGGGGCAGGGUGAGUCGACCCCUAAGGCGAGGCCGAAAGGCGUAGUCGAUGGGAAACAGGUUAAUAUUCCUGUACUUGGUGUUACUGCGAAGGGGGGACGGAGAAGGCUAUGUUGGCCGGGCGACGGUUGUCCCGGUUUAAGCGUGUAGGCUGGUUUUCCAGGCAAAUCCGGAAAAUCAAGGCUGAGGCGUGAUGACGAGGCACUACGGUGCUGAAGCAACAAAUGCCCUGCUUCCAGGAAAAGCCUCUAAGCAUCAGGUAACAUCAAAUCGUACCCCAAACCGACACAGGUGGUCAGGUAGAGAAUACCAAGGCGCUUGAGAGAACUCGGGUGAAGGAACUAGGCAAAAUGGUGCCGUAACUUCGGGAGAAGGCACGCUGAUAUGUAGGUGAAGUCCCUCGCGGAUGGAGCUGAAAUCAGUCGAAGAUACCAGCUGGCUGCAACUGUUUAUUAAAAACACAGCACUGUGCAAACACGAAAGUGGACGUAUACGGUGUGACGCCUGCCCGGUGCCGGAAGGUUAAUUGAUGGGGUCAGCGCAAGCGAAGCUCUUGAUCGAAGCCCCGGUAAACGGCGGCCGUAACUAUAACGGUCCUAAGGUAGCGAAAUUCCUUGUCGGGUAAGUUCCGACCUGCACGAAUGGCGUAAUGAUGGCCAGGCUGUCUCCACCCGAGACUCAGUGAAAUUGAACUCGCUGUGAAGAUGCAGUGUACCCGCGGCAAGACGGAAAGACCCCGUGAACCUUUACUAUAGCUUGACACUGAACAUUGAGCCUUGAUGUGUAGGAUAGGUGGGAGGCUUAGAAGUGUGGACGCCAGUCUGCAUGGAGCCGACCUUGAAAUACCACCCUUUAAUGUUUGAUGUUCUAACGUUGACCCGUGAUCCGGGUUGCGGACAGUGUCUGGUGGGUAGUUUGACUGGGGCGGUCUCCUCCUAAAGAGUAACGGAGGAGCACGAAGGUUGGCUAAUCCUGGUCGGACAUCAGGAGGUUAGUGCAAUGGCAUAAGCCAGCUUGACUGCGAGCGUGACGGCGCGAGCAGGUGCGAAAGCAGGUCAUAGUGAUCCGGUGGUUCUGAAUGGAAGGGCCAUCGCUCAACGGAUAAAAGGUACUCCGGGGAUAACAGGCUGAUACCGCCCAAGAGUUCAUAUCGACGGCGGUGUUUGGCACCUCGAUGUCGGCUCAUCACAUCCUGGGGCUGAAGUAGGUCCCAAGGGUAUGGCUGUUCGCCAUUUAAAGUGGUACGCGAGCUGGGUUUAGAACGUCGUGAGACAGUUCGGUCCCUAUCUGCCGUGGGCGCUGGAGAACUGAGGGGGGCUGCUCCUAGUACGAGAGGACCGGAGUGGACGCAUCACUGGUGUUCGGGUUGUCAUGCCAAUGGCACUGCCCGGUAGCUAAAUGCGGAAGAGAUAAGUGCUGAAAGCAUCUAAGCACGAAACUUGCCCCGAGAUGAGUUCUCCCUGACUCCUUGAGAGUCCUGAAGGAACGUUGAAGACGACGACGUUGAUAGGCCGGGUGUGUAAGCGCAGCGAUGCGUUGAGCUAACCGGUACUAAUGAACCGUGAGGCUUAACCUU